rnacentral:rRNA from 1 species
UACGAAGGGGGCUAGCGUUGCUCGGAAUCACUGGGCGUAAAGGGCGCGUAGGCGGAUCGAUCAGUCAGGGGUGAAAUCCCAGAGCUCAACUCUGGAACUGCCUUUGAUACUGUCGAUCUGGAGUAUGGAAGAGGUGAGUGGAAUUCCGAGUGUAGAGGUGAAAUUCGUAGAUAUUCGGAGGAACACCAGUGGCGAAGGCGGCUCACUGGUCCAUUACUGACGCUGAGGUGCGAAAGCGUGGGGAGCAAACAGG